GACGAACGCUGGCGGCGUGCCUAAUACAUGCAAGUCGAACGCAGUGGGGACGGGUGAGUAACACGUGGGUAACCUCCCGUCAGAGGGGAUAACACUUGGAAACAGGUGCUAAACCGAUACUGAUGGAUGGACCCGCGGGGCAUUAGCUAGUUGGGUAGGUAACGGCUCACCAAGGCCACGAUGCAUAGCCGACCUGAGAGGGUGGUCGGCCACAUGGGGACGGAGACCGGGCCCAGACUCCUACGGGAGGCAGCAGUAGGGAAUCGGCGGCAAUGGGGGAGAGUCUGACCGAGAAACGCCGCGUGAGUGAAGAAGGUUUUCGGAUCGUAAAACUCUGUUGUUAGAGAAGCGGUAUCUAACCAGAAAGCCACGGCUAACUACGUGCCAGCCGCCGCGGUAAUAC
rnacentral:rRNA from 1 species